rnacentral:lncRNA from 1 species
CUGAUUUCAAACACAAUCUCAUAUCUAUAAGAAAAAUCACGCGAUUCUUGAUUGCAUUUUGACAUUCUUCCCUGCGCAUUGGCUUUUGGGAUGAAAAGAGAAUGAUUCAAGUGGGUCAGCAGUUGAUGCACUCUACAACUUUGAAGCAGCCCUCAAUUAUAUUACAGCUCUACGUGCAUGGGCUCCCCCAUCAAUGGAUUUGUGGCAUUGUUGUGUGGGCCGUCCUUUAAAUAGUCGCCCAUGUUCUAUAGCUAAGUCUCAUGAUUUAAUUUCCUUUGCGAAUUGCCAUUGUAAUGUUUGUCCUCUUGCAAAGUUGCUAGGUUUUGUGGAUUAAUUUGAAUUUUGCAAGGGAUACCU